AUUGAACGCUGGCGGCAGGCCUAACACAUGCAAGUCGAGCGGAGCGGCGGACGGGUGAGUAAUGCCUAGGAAUCUGCCUCGUAGGGGGGGAUAACGUCCGGAAACGGGCACUAAUACCUCAUCCUAUCAGAUGAGCCUAGGUCGGAUAAGCUAGUUGGUGGGGUAAAGGCCUACCAAGGCGACGAUACGUAACUGGUCUGAGAGGAUGAUCAGUAAAACUGGAACUGCGACACGGUCCAGACUCCUAGGGGAGGCAGCAGUGGGGAAUAUUUGACAAUGGGCGAAAGCCUGCUCCAGCCAUGCCGGGUGUGUGAAGAAGGUCUUCGGAUUGUAAAGCACUUUAAGUUGGGAGGCGUUACCAACAGAAUAAGCACCGGCUAACUUCGUGCCAGCAGCCGCGGUAAUUC
rnacentral:rRNA from 1 species